rnacentral:rRNA from 1 species
UAAAACGUAGGAGGCGAGCGUUAUCCGGAUUUACUGGGCGUAAAGCGCGUGCAGGCGGUUUGGUAAGUCGGACGUGAAAGUUCCCGGCUCAACUGGGAGAGGUCGUUCGAUACUGCCAGACUAGAGGGCAGUAGAGGGGGGUGGAAUUCCGGGUGUAGCGGUGAAAUGCGUAGAUAUCCGGAGGAACACCAGUGGCGAAGGCGGCCCCCUGGGCUGUCCCUGACGCUCAGACGCGAAAGCUAGGGGAGCAAACGGGAUUAGAAACCCCGGUAGUCCUAGCCGUAAACGAUGCAGACUUGGUGUUGGUGGCUUAAACACCAUCAGUGCCGCAGCUAACGCGAUAAGUCUGCCGCCUGGGGACUACGGCCGCAAGGCUA